AUUGAACGCUGGCGGCAGGCCUAACACAUGCAAGUCGAACGAGUGGCGGACGGGUGAGUAAUGUCUGGGAAACUGCCUGAUGGAGGGGGAUAACUACUGGAAACGGUAGCUAAUACCGCAUACCAUCGGAUGUGCCCAGAUGGGCUUAGGUAUUAGGUGGGGGAAAGGCUCACCUAGGCGACGAUCCCUAGCUGGUCUGAGAGGAUGACCAGCCACACUGUAACUGAGAAACGGUCCAGACGCCUACGGGAGGCAGCAGUGGGGAAUAUUGCACAAUGGGCGAAAGCCUGAUGCAGCAAUGCCGGGUGUAUGAAGAAGGCCUUCGGGUUGUAAAGUACUUUCAUCGGGGAGGCGUUACCCGAAGAAGAAGCACCGGCUAACUCCGUGCCAGCAGCCGCGGUAAUUC
rnacentral:rRNA from 1 species